rnacentral:rRNA from 1 species
CUUGGGGAUAACUGAGUAAAGGGCAGUAAGAGAUCGUAUUGAGCUGCCUGUUACUACCUCGAUGUUGGCUUGUUGUACCUAUUUGGUGUAGAGGCUAAAUUUAGGAAGUCUGUUCGACUAUUAAUUCUUCAUGAGCUGAGUUAAGACCGGUGUAAGCCAGGUUGGUUCUUAUCUAUAUUUGAUUCUGGCUAGUACGAAAGGAGGGUUGGAGUAUACUGUUGUAUAAUUUCAGAUUUUAGGUUUGAUAAUGAAAA